GAUGAACGCUGGCGGCGUGCUUAACACAUGCAAGUCGAACGGAAAGGCCCAAGCUUGCUUGGGUACUCGAGUGGCGAACGGGGGAGUAACACGUGGGGGAUCUGCCCUGCACUUCGGGAUAAGCCUGGGAAACUGGGUCUAAUACCGGAUAGGACGAUGGUUUGGAUGCCAUUGUGGAAAGAUUUUUCGGUGUGGGAUGAGCUCGCGGCCUAUCAGCUUGUUGGUGGGGUAAUGGCCUACCAAGGCGUCGACGGGUAGCCGGCCUGAGAGGGUGUACGGCCACACUGGACCUGGGCUACGGCCCGGACUCCUGCGGGAGGCAGCAGGGGGGAAUAUUGCACAAUGGGCGCCAGCCUGAUGCAGCGACGCCGCGUGGGGGAUGACGGCCUUCGGGUUGUAAACUCCUUUCGCUAGGGACGAAGCGUUUUUGUGACGGUACCUGGAGAAGAAGCCCCGGCUAACUACGUG
rnacentral:rRNA from 1 species